rnacentral:lncRNA from 1 species
GAGAUUCAAACAGCGGAUAAUACAAGCCAAAGUUUUCUUUCUGUGGAAAAGUUGAUGCGCCUUUUAAGAAGUGAACAACCAAGUUAUUUGCCUGGAAAAGUCUCCUGAAAUACUGAAGUUAUGCUAAAGAAGGAGAAGAGAAAGGAAGCUGCAGUCCCUGUAUAACUCCUAAAUUUUUAAUUUGGAGUUCCUCUUCUUCGGUGCAACAAUCUUUCUGCAUGCACAGAUCCAUGUGGCACUCAUCUCAUCAUUCUGAGGGAAGAAAGAUGCAUAGGGAAUGUUGCAUGUGGUUAUUUCUGCAGAACCCACAGAAAACAAUAAAGCACGAGAGAAAAGAGGAUGGCAGUUUACCCAGGAAACAUAGGUUGUGCAAAGCUUUGCAAUGAUACUCUCAAUUCAGAGCAAUGAAGAACAGAAUGCUGUCUUCCCAUAAUGAUGGCAUUCAAUUAUCACUAGACUUACAAGACUACAGAAAAUUUCUCAAGAACCAGUAAGGAUCAGACAGAGCCAAUGACAAUACUGAAGAAGCUUGCCAGUGGAGAAUGAAAGCUCAGUUACACAAAUUACGUUGUUGAACCAGUGCCAGAAAUAAAAUGUGAUGGACAAACUCAUUAA